GACGAACGCUGGCGGCGUGCCUAAUACAUGCAAGUAGAACGCUGAAGGAGGAGCUUGCUCUUCUGGAUGAGUUGCGAACGGGUGAGUAACGCGUAGGUAACCUGCCUGGUAGCGGGGGAUAACUAUUGGAAACGAUAGCUAAUACCGCAUAAUAGUAGAUGUUGCAUGACAUUUACUUCAAAGGUGCAAUUGCCUCACUACCAGAUGGACCUGCGUUGUAUUAGCUAGUUGGUGGGGUAACGGCUUACCAAGGCGACGAUACAUAGCCGACCUGAGAGGGUGAUAGGACAAACUGGGAAUGAGACACGGCCCAGAAUCCUACGGGAGGCAGCAGUAGGGAAUCUUCGGAAAUGGACGGAAGGCUGAACGAGCAACGCCGCGUGAGUGAAGAAGGUUUUCGGAUCGGAAAGCUCUGUUGUAAGAGAAGAAAGAGUGUGAGAGUGGAAAGUUCACACUGUGACGGUAUCUUACCAGAAAGGGACGGCUAACUACGUG
rnacentral:rRNA from 1 species